rnacentral:rRNA from 1 species
GACCCGAACUAACAAAACCCGGCGUAAAGAGUGUUAAAGCUUAACCUAAAAAUAAAGUUAAUAAUUAGCUAAACUGUAAUACGCUCUUGCUAAUAUAAAAAUAAGCAAUAUAAAUGACUUUAAUUUUGCUGAUACACGAUAGCUAAGAUACAAACUGGGAUUAGAUACCCCACUAUGCUUAGCCAUAAACUUAGGUAAUUUAAUAACAAAAUUACUCGCCAGAGAACUACUAGCAACUGCUUAAAACUCAAAGGACUUGGCGGUGCCCUAAACCCACCUAGAGGAGCCUGUUAUAUAAUCGAUACACCCCGUUAAACCCAACCCUAUCUUGCCAAUA